GAGCGACUGACAGCAGGCAGUAACGGCUCUCCAUAGUUAAGCUGCAAUGCGAUGGAUUAGAUCUUUCCUUCAGUGCAGCUCCGGUUGUAGGGACGCAGGACCUAUUUGCAGCUCCCUCCCGUCGAGUGAAUGCACGUGAAUAUUAAUAUAAAAAUCAUAUAUAUAAUAUCAAAUGACCAAUCAAUAGGUCCAAAAACACAGAACAGUACGGAUCGAAUGAUAAACGACGGUUCUCCUCUCAGAAGAUGUAUGGCACCAUAAAUUUAACUAUUGCAGCUAUCUGUAUAUAUUGCCUGCCGAGUGCAUUGGCGGAUCUGGAGUUCUCGUGUUCAGCUGACGCUACAGAGCGUGAGGGGACAUGUGGAUCACACCUCGCAGACACCAUAUCUCUCAUCUGUGGCGGAAUAUUCAACAUGCCGGAUAAGAGGGACAGACCCGCAGCACGAGCUGACCCCUGGUCACGGUUCCGGAGCAUCGUUUUGGGGAAGAGAGAUACUGAGCGCGCCCUGGUGGACAACAACGAGCACUGGAAAGAGACAGUGAAGGAGCUUGACAAAAUUAAACGAAAAAACAUAGCGAAGCUUAACAAGGUCACCCUAACAAAGAGAAGUGCAUUUCAAUACAUAUCUACCUUACGGGUACCUGGUGUCGUAUGUGAGUGUUGUGUUCACGACUGUGAUUUCUAUGAAUUCUCCCAAUACUGUGGAAAGUAGGAGCGUCAUUAAGAGAUUUCGGCGGAAGACGUCAUAUACUGAAGCAACACAUUAAGAAAAUCAACAAGCCUUGGUGAAGAAGACAUACAAAAUUAACAUAAUACAUACACACGAUUUUUUCUUGGUUACUGUUCAAUCAUUGUCAUCCUCGUUUAAGAGAACAUGAACGCGUCUCAGAAAGAUUUCCCAAUAUUUUAUGUCUCUGUACUAGUUUUUUGCAGAUGUUAAUAAGCUUGAAGAACAUCAGCAAUUUACAAACAGUGCAGAUGUUUCCAGCAAACACACAAUGUCCGUACACUGAAAAACUGCUAGGAAAGGUACCUCGGACUUUCUCGAGUAUGAUUUCAUGAAACAUUAAUGUAUCUUUUGGUGAUAUAUUGUUUUAAUUAAAGUUAAUGUUAGUCUUACCAAAAAGUGAGGGAAGUAACUCUGAUAUUAACUGAUAACAUAUAAUCUCAAAGGUACUAUACAACCUUAAAUGGACUUUUACUUGGAACAAUAUCUGUCUGCGUUGUUUGAAAUACAUAUUCAAUAUAUAUUUGGGAUAUACUUUUGGAUACACUGUCUGUCGUUUUGUCCUGUUUGAGUGAUUGAAGUAGUCUAUCUAGGUAUUGUAGGUUAAUAGUCAAGUAUAUAAUAUAUAUGCUUACCAAUUGAUAACUAGUCCAAUGCGUCCAGAAAGAAAUUGUGUCGUGAUAUCGGCUCAGAUUGAACUGGGAACGGUUUCUGACAUAGCAUUUCAAAUUAAGUGUCAAAUCGAAAUACCUAAACGAACGUAGCUCUAAUUAGUGAUUUCUUUGGACCAUUCCAAAUCACUUACUCCUCUGGUACGCACUGCACGUGUGCAUGUAUAAUGGCAAUCUUUGGCCUGAUGCAACGCGCAUUCCUGACGUCAUCAUGUUCAAAUACGUUUACGAUGAUGCUAUCAUGGAAAUGGACAAGGCAUUCUUCAUGAUAAAGUAUAUAGUCUAUAUGUAAAAUAUAUAAGCAAGGUUUUAGAAGAGAAAAAUCAAUUAAGGAUAAACACAGGAUUAUUUGUUAAUUGUCUCCGCGUUCAUCCCAUUGGCAGUGUAGGCCCCCUCCCCUCCCCUCCAAGCUCCGCAGCUCUUAACGACACACUGAUAAAUGUUCCUGUCUAUUUUUACGUUCGCUUAGAGUGUCGGUUGUGUAAAGCCUUUGUAAUGCUCUAUGUUCUAUUGUCAAAUACAUAUUGUCUUAGCUUUACCUAUUGUACUAAUACCUAUACAAAUUUACACUCAUCUCAAAUAAAAUAUGUAUAUGAUCAAUACGCAUGUCAAUACACGCGCUCCAAAGAAUUUACAAUAAAAAAAUAUAUCAGAAAUCAAAACCGCACGAAUAAACUAAAAAUGAUUUAUGCUCAUAUCUUAAUACUAUUUUCUGGUUUGCUUAUAAAUCAUUUCAAAAAGAGUACUACCUACCUCUUCGACUGAUCUCAUUUUCAAACCAUCAGAAGAGUAUGACACUAAGAUUAUAAUGCGAAGGAAGAACAUAAGCAAAUAAAAGGCAGUGUUACACGCCUUUUUGCGUACAUAUCACGUCCUAGUACGAUAUUUAGGCGCGAUCCCGGUAAACAUACAUUUAUAAAUAUCAUUAUUUGGUAGCAUGUCUGUUUGUACUGAAAGAGAGACUCCAGUAUAUGUGUUAUCUAUUUGCAUGCAGGAUGUCAAGCGCAGAUACAUUUGUAAUAAACUAGGAUAGGGAUGUAGUAUUGCCAGUUCUCGUUGGUCGCGUGACUGAGAGUACAUCGGAAGUAUCAUGUAUGUCAUCAUCGAUUAAGUGAAAAAAUGAAUAAAAUAAAAGUCACAAGCUGUUCUCAUUGGUUGAAUGCAAAAUAAAUGCCUUUUUGCUGGCUUGACUAG